UUUAAUGCAACCAUGUCUUCUGUGACUCUUAUGUAGAAUUACAAAUAACUGAAUUCUAAAACCAAAUAACACACCCCAUGGCAUAAAUCUGUUUACCAGCAAAGAGUGAUUUUUUAAACCAUCUACACUAUAAACUUUCUUUAUGCCUCCAGAGAAGUUAUUUUAUUAAGAAAAUUACACACACACACACACACACACACACACACACAGGCCAAGUAUCAGGAACAUCAAAAUAACUCAUUGAUACAGAGGGCCAAGUAUACACAGGCAGAAGAAAACACAGUGUAAUGUGUUUCUUUGAAAGUUCUAGAUCUUCAAGACAGCAUAAAUAUGAGAAGGUUCAUCUGGAAAUAUCAACUAUCAAACACAUGGAGAUCAUGGGCCAAGAGGAAUGUUGCAGUGAGCAGAAGACUACAUUCUCCUGAGAAUUUGAAAUUGCAUGUGUAGUCCUUUCUCCUGGGAAGGCUAGCAGAAAUCUCUAAACAGAAAGACAGAUGCCAGUUUGGAAUGUCAGAGGUCAAGUGAGAAUGAAGGAAGAGUUGAAAGGAUCUUGGAAGAAAAAAGAAAGGCAAGAAAGAUUUUCCUGUUUAUGAUCUUUGGAAUUGACAAGAUAUAAAUGGCUCACAUUUAUGUCAGAUAUUUCUUGUGAUCUAUCACUAUGACUUGAAUAAAGCAGGAAAUGAUCAUCAAUACUCUAUUAAUGAAACAUUCAUGUGAAGAAAUGAAGAUGGAAGGAAGGCCAUGAAGAGACUGUGUCAUGUUAAGGAGCUUGUGCUUUUUUUCCUGCAGGGGCUGGUAGGUCAUGGGUUGGUUGUAAGAGAAUGACAUUGUCAAAUUUGAGUUUUACAUCAAUCAAUAUGGUAGCCUUGUGAUGGGAUGCAUUUAAGCUACCUGAAAUUAAAGCCAGGGAGAAAAGCUGAAAAUGCACUUUGGAUGUCAAGGUAAAACAUGUUGAGAGCCUGCACUAUGGAAUUCAAGUAUAUAAGGAAAAAUCUGGUCAUAAUUUAGUUUUAUAAUGUUUGUGCAAAUUGAGGAAAUGGGAGAUUUGUCUGUGGAUGCGGGUAAAAAUGAAAAGUGAAUAUUUUUCUAUACAAGAUCAGUUGUAAGUUACAUUGCAGCAAGAGGAAAGAUACCUAAUAAAAAACACAAUACAGAAAAAUUUCUGGUUAUCCUUAUUUUAUAUUACAUUGAGAAUUUUCAACACAGAGGAAUACUUCUCAUUUAAGGGUACAAUUUCUUAGGGUUCAAUUUUAUACUCUCUUGCUCUGUUGAUUUUUUGUAUUCCCUCCAUGAGAUUUUAUUCUGGAAUCCUAACUUUUCCCCACCUCCUUGUAAUAUAUCCUUAGUUUUAUCUUAUUUUCCUGUCUUUUGAUUUGAUAUUUCUUCCUGCUACUGUCUCUUGAAUUACUUCUGUCUCCUUGCUAUGACCUACCCCAUGCUACCUUUGAACUCCUCCAGGCCCUUGAGAACCCAAACUGGUUCCAGUGUCCUAAGCUUCUUCUGCCUUUUAGUGAAGAAUAUUUGGAUUUAAAUCAAAUUCUGUGUUUCCAAAAAGGGAUAAGGUAAAGCAUAUUCAUGUAUUUUUUAAACAGAUGACAUUUUACUUUCUUCUUAAAAAAAUACAAAGUGUUUGAAUUAUAUCUCCCAAAGCAAAACAAUUUAUACAUUCUAAUUUUGUUGAGGAUUUUGUAAGGAAAAUAAGCUAAUCAGUAGCAGACACUUAGUCUCUUUUAUUUUUAGAACUCUUAACUGAUAUCUUAUGGCUUUCAAAAACACUUUUAAUGGGUGCAGACAUUUAAAAAAGGUUAUAAAUGGUCAAAACAUUGGUUGGAAUGAAAACAUUUGAGUUACUUAAAUUCAUGCUAAAUUUUUUAAGUAAAAAAUUAAAAUAUAGACUAAAUGGCCCUUGCUUUUAAGGGACUUUCAAGACAAAAGUGGA